rnacentral:lncRNA from 1 species
UCGGCCUGGCGGGGCGGAAGCUGGAGGAGGGCAAGGAUUUGGAAGAACAUAAGCCAAGGGAACAGAAAACGAAAGUCAAGUGGGCAAGCACAAACUUUUCAAACAAAGCAUGCACAUAUUACAAGCAAGCAUAAAUGGCUCACGGCCACGAGUUCAAUAUGUUACACCCAGUGGGUUGAACUGCAGACUUAACAAAAUGCGGGAAAAAAAGAAAA